GAUGAACGCUAGCGGCAGGCCUAAUACAUGCAAGUCGAACGAGAUUAAGAGGCUUGCUUCUUAUGAAAGUGGCGCACGGGUGCGUAACGCGUAUGCAACCUACCUUAAUCAGGGGGAUAGCCCGAAGAAAUUCGGAUUAAGACCGCAUAAAAACACAGGAUAGCAUUAUCCAAUGUUCAAAUAUUUAUAGGAUUAAGAUGGGCAUGCGUGUCAUUAGCUAGUUGGCGGGGUAACGGCCCACCAAGGCGACGAUGACUAGGGGAUCUGAGAGGAUGACCCCCCACACUGGUACUGAGACACGGACCAGACUCCUACGGGAGGCAGCAGUAAGGAAUAUUGGUAAAUGGAGGGAACUCUGAACCAGCCAUGCCGCGUGCAGGAAGACAGCCCUCUGGGUCGUAAACUGCUUUUAUUCGGGAAUAAACCUUUCUACGUGUAGGAAGCUGAAUGUACCGAAGGAAUAAGGAUCGGCUAACUCCGUG
rnacentral:rRNA from 1 species